rnacentral:sRNA from 1 species
UGAGUUACUGAUUGUUGUUUAAUGCAG